rnacentral:rRNA from 1 species
UGCAGUCGAGGGGUAGAGCACUUCGGUGCUUGAGACCGGCGCACGGGUGCGUAACGCGUAUGCAAUCUACCUUUUACAGGGGGAUAGCCCAGAGAAAUUUGGAUUAAUACCCCAUAGUAUAGUGAGUUGGCAUCAACCUAUUAUUAAAGUCACAACGGUAAAAGAUGAGCAUGCGUCCCAUUAGCUAGUUGGUAAGGUAACGGCUUACCAAGGCAACGAUGGGUAGGGGUCCUGAGAGGGAGAUCCCCCACACUGGUACUGAGACACGGACCAGACUCCUACGGGAGGCAGCAGUGAGGAAUAUUGGACAAUGGGCGCAAGCCUGAUCCAGCCAUGCCGCGUGCAGGAUGACGGUCCUAUGGAUUGUAAACUGCUUUUGUACGAGAAGAAACACUCCUACGUGUAGGAGCUUGACGGUAUCGUAAGAAUAAGGAUCGGCUAACUCCGUGCCAGCAGCCGCGGUAAUACGGAGGAUCCAAGCGUUAUCCGGAAUCAUUGGGUUUAAAGGGUCCGUAGGCGGUCUUGUAAGUCAGUGGUGAAAGCCCAUCGCUCAACGGUGGAACGGCCAUUGAUACUGCAGGACUUGAAUUAUUAGGAAGUAACUAGAAUAUGUAGUGUAGCGGUGAAAUGCUUAGAGAUUACAUGGAAUACCAAUUGCGAAGGCAGGUUACUACUAAUGGAUUGACGCUGAUGGACGAAAGCGUGGGUAGCGAACAGGAUUAGAUACCCUGGUAGUCCACGCCGUAAACGAUGGAUACUAGCUGUUGGGGGCAACCUCAGUGGCUAAGCGAAAGUGAUAAGUAUCCCACCUGGGGAGUACGAACGCAAGUUUGAAACUCAAAAGGAAUUGACGGGGGGCCCGCACAAGCGGUGGAGCAUGUGGGUUUAAUUCGAUGAUA